CAGCCGCCGCGGUAACACGGAGGAUCCAAGCGUUAUCCGGAAUCAUUGGGUUUAAAGGGUCCGUAGGCGGUCUUGUAAGUCAGUGGUGAAAGCCCAUCGCUCAACGGUGGAACGGCCAUUGAUACUGCAGGACUUGAAUUAUUGGGAAGUAACUAGAAUAUGUAGUGUAGCGGUGAAAUGCUUAGAGAUUACAUGGAAUACCAAUUGCGAAGGCAGGUUACUACCAAUUGAUUGACGCUGAUGGACGAAAGCGUGUGUAGCGAACAGGAUUAGAUACCCCCGUAGUCCCUGUCUCUUAUAC
rnacentral:rRNA from 1 species